UACGGGGGAGGCAAGCGUUAUCCGGAAUCAUUGGGCGUAAAGCGUCCGUAGGUGGUUAACCAAGUCUUUUGUCAAAGCGCGGGGCUUAACUUCGUAACGGCAGGGGAAACUGGCGAACUAGAGUGCGGUAGGGGUAGAGGGAAUUCCCAGUGUAGCGGUGAAAUGCGUAGACAUUGGGAAGAACACCGGUGGCGAAAGCGCUUUACUGGGCCUGCACUGACACUGAGGGACGAAAGCUAGGGGAGCGAAAGGG
rnacentral:rRNA from 1 species